CGCAGCCAUUCCCGUGGGCAGCAUCAAGGGGCCCCGCGGCACCACGAUCCCGUUUGUCCUGAUUCCUGGGGAGGGAGGUGCAGAGGCUUGAAUGGCUGCUGUCGGGAUCAGCCAGGUGGUUUUCCAGCCUGGUGUGUCUGUCAAGUGCGCUCCUUGGCCGAGGGCUGAGGAUGAAUCCCAGGUGCACGUGCCAUUUGCGAGGCAGGACGCGCGUCAUGACAGUCACCGGGUUAAUGGCUGGCAUCCCGCUCCACCUGCCAGUGUGCCGCCAGCACCCACGGCCGUGCCCUGCUCAUUGGGCUCUGCUCCACAGCCACAGGCAAACCCAGGGCUCUGGGGGGCCAGCCAGGUGCCGAGGUGCCUGCUCUCCCGGCGGCAUGGAGACAUGGUCCCGGCGCAGCGCUGCCUUCGACUGUGUGCCCCAGCCGGCAGCCUGCUGCCCUGACUGGAUGGCGGGGCUCCCCGACGCCCUGCCCCUCUCCCACCUCUCCAUCCCUGGCACCCACGACUCCCUCAGCCUAUUCGGUGGCCGGCGCCUGCGGUGCCAGAGCUGGGGCCUGGAGGCCCAGCUGGCGGCCGGCAUCCGCUUCCUGGAUGUGCGCUGCAAGCUGUCGCGGGGGGAGCUCCGCAUCUACCACCUCUGCACCUUCCAGCGGGCCAGCCUGCGCGGCGUCCUGCGCCGCACCCUGCGCUUUCUCCGCGCCCACCCCGGCGAGGCCGUGCUUAUGCGCAUCAAGGAGGAGUUGCCCAUCUUCUCCCGGCCCGGCUUCGCCGCCCAGCUGCACCACUGCCUGCUGGAAGAGGGACAGGGCUGCGUGUGGUGCCGGGAGGAGGUGCCCACGCUGGGCCAGGUGCGCGGGAAGAUAGUGGUGCUGGAGGCGCUGGCGCGGGAAGUGCUGGGCAUCCCCUACGAGCAGCUGAGCAUCAGCGACGCCUGGAACGUGCUCUCGCUGGAGCGCAAGUGGGCCCGGGUGCGGCGGCACCUGGAGAAGGCGGCCGGCGGAGACCCCAGCACCAUGUACCUCACCUUCUGCUCCGGCAACGGGCUCUUCACCUGCCCAGAGGAGGUGGCCCGCUUUGUGAACCCCCGCUGCUGCCAGCACCUGCGGCGCCGGGCCGGGCAGCCCGUGCGCUGGGGGGUGGUCAUCAUGGACUUCCCUGGCGCAGGCCUUCUCCGGCUCAUCGUGGAGAGCAACGGCCCGCGGGCCAAUGGACGCGGCACAGCGGCUCCCGGCACCCCCACGGUUCGGGCCCGGCACCGCCGCGGCACACGGGAGCGGGGCCGCGGCCCGCACAGCCCCGCACGCUGCCCGCGCCGCUGUCCCUCGGGGAGGACACUGCUCCCGGCCCCGCGCCUCUGCCCGAGGGCCUCCGGGCCUGGGGGGCAAAAGCGGGAUUCCAGGCCUUGCAGAGCACCGGGAAGCCUUCGUGUGACGAUGGUGUGACAGCCGCGGAGGCAGCAGAGAAGGGCCGGAGCCGGGCAGGCCGGGGAGCUGCGCCCUGCCCUCAGAAGCCAGAAUGUCCUGGUGGAGCAGCAUCAAUUUCUUUGGAACUGGAAAAUGCAUGUGACCUGCAUGGCUCUUGUUUGGCUUUAGCUGG